GAAACAACAAACUGAGCUUGACCAUCUCAAAAAGGAAUUUUCUGAUAGAAAGGACUCAUAUGAAAAGCUCCACCAAGAAAAAGAGAAACUACAAACUGAGCUUGACCAUCUCAAAAAGGAAUUUUCUGAUAGAAAGGACUCAUAUGAAAAGCUCCACCAAGAAAAAGAAAGCGAAGAAGCCAAAAAUAAACAGAUGUUACUACAAAAUCACACCCUUGAAAAUAGCGUUAAAGAAAUUAUACUGGAAAGAUCAAAUUUGGAUGAGAAAUUGAAAGGCAGUGAUCAAGCUCGUUGUGCAGCAGAAAAAAUUGUAUCAGAUCUAAAAAAAGAAUUAGCAACAAUUGAUAUUCCCGUUUCCAAAAAAUGGCAGCUAGAGUGCAUACUAGAGCCUCGUC